CGGCGGGGUAGAGGCCCGCCGCGGUAACGACGGGUAACGGGGAAUCAGGGUUCGAUUCCGGAGAGGGAGCCCGAGAAACGGCUACCACUUCCAAGGAAGGCAGCAGGCGCGCAACUUACCCUAAUCUCGAUUCGAGGAGGUAGUGACAAGAAAUACCGAUGCGGGGACCCUACGGGGUGCCGCGUUCGGAAUGAGUACGAUUCGAACCACCUAACGAGGAACGAUCGGAGGGCAAGUCUGGUGCCAGCAGCCGCGGUAAUUCCAGCUCCAAUAGCGUACGUUAAAAGUUGCUGCAGUUAAAAAGCUCGUAGUUGAACGUUCGGGUUCCGCGGGACGGGGCCGCCCCGCGAGGGACGGCGCCGCCCCGGGGCUCGUGAUAUCUCAUCUCGCCGCCCGUCGCGAGGCGGACGGAGGGAUGGAUGAGGUUACCUGGAAAAAAUCGGGGCGAUCUAGGCGGGCGAACCUCGCCAACGAACGAUCGGACAUGGGAUAACGGAAGAGGGCGUCGGCUCGACUUCGUCGGUUCCUCGGGCCGAGGCACGUACGGUGAA
rnacentral:rRNA from 1 species